UAGAAAGUAAUAUAAUGGAAGUAUGGAGGGUUUUGAUCCCUCCAGCGUAGGUUCGACUCCUACUUUUCUAA
rnacentral:tRNA from 1 species